CAGUUUCGUGUGCAUAUUUUACUGUUUUACCGAUUAUGGAUUGAAUGACUGGGAUAUUGAUGCUGUAUGUUUGUCUGUUUGGCAUAAAUUACCGUUUUGCUUGUUUGUAUGUGGAUUGAUGAUGCUGACUGAGGAAAAGGGGAACGAUAGAUUAUGUAAAUGGGUAAUUGUAUAAUGUGGUCAGCCUGACUAGAUAUCCUGGGAGAUGGUGGACGGACCGGGUCCGUAGGAAACCCUACCGGGAUUGUGGUCUCCCAUACGGACGGGGUAUGGAGAUCUUAUGUGUUUUGGUGCCCAUACCGGACGGGGUAUGGGGACGGCCCAUUUCAC
rnacentral:lncRNA from 1 species